GACGAACGCUGGCGGCGUGCCUAAUACAUGCAAGUAGAACGCUGAAGAGAGGAGCUUGCUCUUCUUGGAUGAGUUGCGAACGGGUGAGUAACGCGUAGGUAACCUGCCUUGUAGCGGGGGAUAACUAUUGGAAACGAUAGCUAAUACCGCAUAACAAUGGAUGACACAUGUCAUUUAUUUGAAAGGGGCAAUUGUUCCACUACAAGAUGGACCUGCGUUGUAUUAGCUAGUAGGUGAGGUAAUGGCUCACCUAGGGGACGAUACAUAGCCGACCUGAGAGGGUGAUCGGCCACACUGGGACUGAGACACGGCCCAGACUCCUACGGGAGGCAGCAGUAGGGAAUCUUCGGCAAUGGGGGCAACCCUGACCGAGCAACGCCGCGUGAGUGAAGAAGGGUUUCGGAUCGUAAAGCUCUGUUGUAAGUCAAGAACGGGUGUGAGAGUGGAAAGUUCACACUGUGACGGUAGCUUACCAGAAAGGGACGGCUAACUACGUG
rnacentral:rRNA from 1 species